UGAUAUGUUUGAUAUUAGGUUGUUUUAUUGGAAAGCCAACUAAAUAUCAAACAUAUUCUUA
rnacentral:pre_miRNA from 1 species